rnacentral:rRNA from 1 species
GACAGAGGGGGCAAGCGUUGUUCGGAAUUACUGGGCGUAAAGGGCGCGUAGGCGGCCUGUUAAGUCGAACGUGAAAUCCCCGGGCUCAACCCGGGAACUGCGUCCGAUACUGGCAGGCUUGAAUCCGGGAGAGGGAUGCGGAAUUCCAGGUGUAGCGGUGAAAUGCGUAGAUAUCUGGAGGAACACCGGUGGCGAAGGCGGCGAUCCUGGACCGGCAUUGACGCUGAGGCG